rnacentral:rRNA from 1 species
GACAGAGGGUGCGAACGUUGCUCGGAAUUACUGGGCGUAAAGCGUGCGCAGGCGGUUGUGCAAGACAGGUGUGAAAUCCCCGGGCUUAACCUGGGAACUGCACUUGUGACUGCACGGCUGGAGUACGGCAGAGGGGGAUGGAAUUCCGCGUGUAGCAGUGAAAUGCGUAGAUAUGCGGAGGAACACCGAUGGCGAAGGCAGUCCCCUGGGCCUGUACUGACGCUCAUGCACGAAAGCGUGGGGAGCAAACAGG